UACGAAGGGGGCUAGCGUUGUUCGGAAUUACUGGGCGUAAAGCGCGCGCAGGCGGUUCUUCAAGUCAGUGGUGAAAGCCCGGAGCUCAACUCCGGAACUGCCAUUGAAACUGUGGAACUUGAGGAUGAGAGAGGUGAGUGGAAUUCCCAGUGUAGAGGUGAAAUUCGUAGAUAUUGGGAAGAACACCGGUGGCGAAGGCGGCUCACUGGCUCAUUUCUGACGCUCAGGCGCGACAGCGUGGGGAUCAAACAG
rnacentral:rRNA from 1 species